UUUUGCUUCACAGAAAAAAAGUUGACACUAUAUGCUAUAAAUAUAUCAAGGACCAAUCCAAUUCAACAACGUAGGCACAUAAAUUUCCCAAGUUUCAAAAUCUAAGUUCUGGUCUUGUCUUUGGAACUUUAGUCAGUAAGAAAUAUUUAUUGGUCUGAUACCUCUUUUGAAUUGGCAUUUCUUUAAGGGUCAGGCGCAUCUCUAUCUCUUUCUCUCUCUCUCUUGUCUGUCUAUCAAUCAUAUAUCAUCUAUCUAUCUAAUCUAGCUAUCAUAUAAUUGUGCACCUUGCACAUUUUCUGGCACAUAUUAUGAGUUCAUCAAAUGUCAGUUGAGAUAAAGCAAAGUAAAAUCCAUGGUAAUUUUCACUUCUGAUUCAUUACAUGAGUCCUUUGAAAUUAGUAAUCUGCAUUUGCUAGAGUAGAAGAGAAUGUAAAUGACUAGGGUUAUAUACUCCAUAAUACACUCAUUCACUGACUAACCACAUCCGUAGAUUCGUGGUGUACUUCUCUAUAGUAAUUUUAUUUCCUCAUACAUUUCCCCUUUAUCUGACUCACAUUUGUUACAACCCUUACAUAUUAAUCAUUUUGAAACCACAGUUCUCUGAAUCAUUGAUGGGUCCUGGUUUACAAGGAAAUGCAUCCACUAGGAAAUGAGAGCACUUCGAAGAAAUGUUUCGCUGCCACGUGCUGGUUUUGAUAAGUUUCCAGGCUGUCAACCUGGGCCCAUCUACAGCAAAGGACUGGAAUUGAGCCUCAGAAUUCCUGUAGGGAUUGAACUCCAGACCUUGUGCUUGCAAGGCAGGCACUGGAACUACUGAGCUAAAUCUCCAGUCACUUAUUGUUAUCUUUCCUGAACAGACAUUAUUUUAAAAAGUAGCAUGGGAGUCACACAGAACAUGCCAAAUCAGCCCGCUACAGACAGGUAGGUCUGUGCACGCCCUACUGAGGUCCUGAGUCAUGCAGAAGAUACCAAAUCACCCCGCUGCAGACAGGCAGGUCUGCCCACGCCCUACCGAGGUCCCGAGUC
rnacentral:lncRNA from 1 species